CGCACAAUGGACUAUUGGUAAGGCGCCAGAUGUCUUGUACAGCUAAAGGGGUAAAACAAAUUUGACCUUGGGACGUAGGUUCGAGUCCUACUCGUGUGA